AGAAUGUUAUCACGGGAGACACACGGCGGGUGCUAACGUCCGUCGUGAAGAGGGAAACAACCCAGACCGCCAGCUAAGGUCCCAAAGUCAUGGUUAAGUGGGAAACGAUGUGGGAAGGCCCAGACAGCCAGGAUGUUGGCUUAGAAGCAGCCAUCAUUUAAAGAAAGCGUAAUAGCUCACUGGUCGAGUCGGCCUGCGCGGAAGAUGUAACGGGGCUAAACCAUGCACCGAAGCUGCGGCAGCGACACUAUGUGUUGUUGGGUAGGGGAGCGUUCUGUAAGCCGUUGAAGGUGGCCUGUGAGGGUUGCUGGAGGUAUCAGAAGUGCGAAUGCUGACAUAAGUAACGAUAAUGCGGGUGAAAAACCCGCACGCCGGAAGACCAAGGGUUCCUGUCCAACGUUAAUCGGGGCAGGGUGAGUCGACCCCUAAGGCGAGGCCGAAAGGCGUAGUCGAUGGGAAACAGGUUAAUAUUCCUGUACUUGGUGUUACUGCGAAGGGGGGACGGAGAAGGCUAUGUUGGCCGGGCGACGGUUGUCCCGGUUUAAGCAUGUAGGCGGAUGUUCCAGGUAAAUCCGGAGCGUCACUAACGCUGAGGUGUGAUGACGAGGCACUACGGUGCUGAAGUGACAAAUGCCCUGCUUCCAGGAAAAGCCUCUAAGCAUCAGGUAACAUCAAAUCGUACCCCAAACCGACACAGGUGGUCAGGUAGAGAAUACCAAGGCGCUUGAGAGAACUCGGGUGAAGGAACUAGGCAAAAUGGUGCCGUAACUUCGGGAGAAGGCACGCUGAUACGUAGGUGAAGCGACUUGCUCGUGGAGCUGAAAUCAGUCGAAGAUACCAGCUGGCUGCAACUGUUUAUUAAAAACACAGCACUGUGCAAACACGAAAGUGGACGUAUACGGUGUGACGCCUGCCCGGUGCCGGAAGGUUAAUUGAUGGGGUUAUCCUCGCGGAGAAGCUCUUGAUCGAAGCCCCGGUAAACGGCGGCCGUAACUAUAACGGUCCUAAGGUAGCGAAAUUCCUUGUCGGGUAAGUUCCGACCUGCACGAAUGGCGUAAUGAUGGCCAGGCUGUCUCCACCCGAGACUCAGUGAAAUUGAACUCGCUGUGAAGAUGCAGUGUACCCGCGGCAAGACGGAAAGACCCCGUGAACCUUUACUAUAGCUUGACACUGAACACUGGUCCUUGAUGUGUAGGAUAGGUGGGAGGCUUUGAAGUGUGGACGCCAGUCUGCAUGGAGCCGACCUUGAAAUACCACCCUUUAAUGUUUGAUGUUCUAACGUUGGCCCCUAAUCGGGGUUGCGGACAGUGUCUGGUGGGUAGUUUGACUGGGGCGGUCUCCUCCUAAAGA
rnacentral:rRNA from 1 species